GUCUACGGCCAUGUUACCCUGAACAAUCCGAUCCCAUCUGAUCUUAGAAGGUAAAUCACGGUCGGGCCUGGUUAGUACUUGGAUGGGAGACCACCUAGGAAGACCGGGUGCUGUAGGUG
rnacentral:rRNA from 1 species